UACGUAGGGUGCGAGCGUUAAUCGGAAUUACUGGGCGUAAAGCGUGCGCAGGCGGCGCGUUUAAGACAGGUGUGAAAAGCCCCGAGCUUAACUUGGGAAUUGCGCUUGUGACUGGCGUGCUGGAGUGUGGCAGAGGGAGGUGGAAUUCCACGUGUAGCAGUGAAAUGCGUAGAGAUGUGGAGGAACACCGAUGGCGAAGGCAGCCUCCUGGGCCAGCACUGACGCUCAUGCACGAAAGCGUGGGGAGCAAACAGG
rnacentral:rRNA from 1 species